GACGAACGCUGGCGGCGUGCCUAAUACAUGCAAGUCGAGCGGACAGAAGGGAGCUUGCUCCCGGAAGUUAGCGGCGGACGGGUGAGUAACACGUGGGCAACCUACCCUGUAGAUCGGGAUAACAUCGAGAAAUCGGUGCUAAUACCGGAUAAUCAUUUGAAGUGCAUGCUUCGAAUGUAAAAGAUGGCUCCGGCUAUCACUACGGGAUGGGCCCGCGGCGCAUUAGCUGGUUGGUAAGGUAAUGGCUUACCAAGGCAACGAUGCGUAGCCGACCUGAGAGGGUGAUCGGCCACACUGGGACUGAGACACGGCCCAGACUCCGACGGGAGGCAGCAGUAGGGAAUCUUCCGCAAUGGACGAAAGUCUGACGGAGCAACGCCGCGUGAGUGAUGAAGGUUUUCGGAUCGUGAAGCUCUGUUGUUAGGGAAGAACAAGUGCCGUUUGAAUAAGGCGGCACCUUGACGGUACCUAACCAGAAAGCCACGGCUAACUACGUGCCAGCAGCCGCGGUAAAAC
rnacentral:rRNA from 1 species